rnacentral:rRNA from 1 species
AAGUGGGGAAUUUUGNCACAAUGGGCGCAGGCCUGAUCCAGCCAUGCCGCGUGUCUGAAGAAGGCCUUCGGGUUGUAAAGGACUUUUGUCAGGGAAGAAAAGGCUGUUGCUAAUAUCAGCGGCUGAUGACGGUACCUGAAGAAUAAGCACCGGCUAACUACGUGCCAGCAGCCGCGGUAAUACGUAGGGUGCGAGCGUUAAUCGGAAUUACUGGGCGUAAAGCGAGCGCAGACGGUUACUUAAGCAGGAUGUGAAAUCCCCGGGCUCAACCUGGGAACUGCGUUCUGAACUGGGUGACUAGAGUGUGUCAGAGGGAGGUAGAAUUCCACGUGUAGCAGUGAAAUGCGUAGAGAUGUGGAGGAAUACCGAUGGCGAAGGCAGCCUCCUGGGAUAACACUGGCGUUCAUGCUCGAAAGCGUGGGUAGCAAACAGGAUUAGAUACCCUGGUAGUCCACGCCCUAAACGAUGUCAAUUAGCUGUUGGGCAACUUGAUUGUUCAGUAGCGUAGCUAACGCGUGAAAUUGACCGCCUGGGGAGUACGGUCGCAAGAUUA